GAUGAACGCUGGCGGCGUGCCUAACACAUGCAAGUCGAGCGGGGAUUUCGGUCCUAGCGGCGGACGGGUGAGCAACGCGUGGGUAACCUGCCCUAUACACAUGGAUAACAUACCGAAAGGUAUGCUAAUACAAGAUAAAACAUUGAUAAGGCAUCUUAUUAAUGUCAAAGCUUUUGCGGUAUAGGAUGGACCCGCGUCCCAUUAGCUAGUUGGUGAGGUAACGGCUCACCAAGGCCACGAUGGGUAGCCGACCUGAGAGGGUGAUCGGCCACAUUGGAACUGAGACACGGUCCAGACUCCUACGGGAGGCAGCAGUGGGGAAUAUUGCACAAUGGAGGAAACUCUGAUGCAGCAACGCCGCGUGAGUGAUGAAGGUCUUCGGAUUGUAAAGCUCUGUCUUCUGGGACGAUAAUGACGGUACCAGAGGAGGAAGCCACGGCUAACUACGUGCCAGCAGCCGCCGUAACAC
rnacentral:rRNA from 1 species